rnacentral:rRNA from 1 species
AUGUGAAAGCCCCGGGCUCAACCUGGGAAUUGCAUUUAAAACUGGUUAACUAGAGUACUGUAGAGGGAGGUAGAAUUCCACGUGUAGCGGUGAAAUGCGUAGAGAUGUGGAGGAAUACCGGUGGCGAAGGCGGCCUUCUGGACAGAUACUGACGCUGAGAUGCGAAAGCGUGGGGAGCAAACAGGAUUAGAUACCCUGGUAGUCCACGCUGUAAACGAUGUCGAUUUGGAGUUUGCUGCCAUGAGUGGUGGGCUCCGAAGCUAACGCGAUAAAUCGACCGCCUGGGGAGUACGGCCGCAAGGUUAAAACUCAAAUGAAUUGACGGGGGCCCGCACAAGCGGUGGAGCAUGUGGUUUAAUUCGAUGCAACGCGAAGAACCUUACCUGGUCUUGACAUCCAUAGAAUCUUGUAGAGAUACGAGAGUGCCUUCGGGAGCUAUGAGACAGGUGCUGCAUGGCUGUCGUCAGCUCGUGUUGUGAAAUGUUGGGUUAAGUCCCGCAACGAGCGCAACCCUUAUCCUUUGUUGCCAGCACGUAGAGGUGGGAACUCAAAGGAGACUGCCGUUGAUAAAGCGGAGGAAGGUGGGGACGACGUCAAGUCAUCAUGGCCCUUACGACCAGGGCUACACACGUGCUACAAUGGCGUAUACAAAGGGAGGCGAAGGUGCGAACUGGAGCGGACCUCACAAAGUACGUCUAAGUCCGGAUUGGAGUCUGCAACUCGACUCCAUGAAGUCGGAAUCGCUAGUAAUCGUAAAUCAGAAUGCUACGGUGAAUACGUUCCCGGGCCUUGUACACACCGCCCGUCACACCAUGGGAGUGGGUU